GAAGGUUAAGCCUGGACUCUGAGGAAUGGUAGGCAAGGCUCUGUCAUGGACCUACAGCACAUGCUCUCGGAGCUGUCUUGACACUGUGUAGCCAGGGAAACAUUAAAACAACUUUAGUCUGUAGUUAGGGAAUGGAAAGCCCAGUGAGGCCGAGGAACUUGCUGACUGCCAGGCACUGGGAAUCCCAGGAGCAGAGCAGUUGGUAAGUGAGGAGGGUGAGCCAGAGACUCCAUCCAGAAGCUCAUGAUCAAACCAAGAGUGGCCCCCAGCAACUGUCAUGCAUGCUGUCCCCAAGACAACCAUGGCUUACGCUCAUCUCUUCCUCUCUGCACUCCUCUGGGGUGGUGGGACAAUCUGGCACUUCAGACCCAGGUUUGCUACCAGAGGGAGUCAUGGGCCUGCAGAAUGACACAGCCCUCUUCCAAGAACCAUUCAUUCUGAAGAGAGUACCAGAGUAAGACCUUUGGAACACUGCAUAAAUAAGGGGGCUUGAGAUGAUACACAACUGGUCC